AGUAAUGUGGCAUAAUGGUUUGAGUGUUGGACUAGAACUCUAGAGACCAAGGUUCAAUUCCCACCUUGGCCA